UAAAUGAUGAAAGCACUUAGUCUCUCACUUUUCGAAAGCCUUGUUCUUUCUUCAGUGGUUUUCGUCCUUUGUUGUGGUUAGCCUCACCAUCCGUUGCUGCCACAACAUUUAGCCUCACCAUCCGUUGCUGCCACAACAUUUAGCCUUACCAUCUGUUGUUGCCACAACAUUGUUCUCCUUAGAGAACUUGAAGAGGCACAUUUGAAAGAAGAGCCAACCAUUCUUCAUUUGUUUUCCCUUCUUCGUCGUCAUUCAACUCUUACCCACUGAAAACACUCAAAGUUUUUCCUUUUGGCAAAAAUGUGAACUGGAUUUUGAUGGAGGCAAGUGAUUUUUCAAGUGUUUAUGAUACCUCAAAUAAAGGAAGAAAAUCAUCUACAACUAACAAUAUAAUAUUUUUCUAUAUUUACGUGUGUUAGUUGGGUACAAUGUUUUACUUCUACUUGGUUUA